rnacentral:rRNA from 1 species
UACAGAGGUCCCAAGCGUUGUUCGGAAUUACUGGGCGUAAAGGGCCAGUAGGCGGCCAACUAAGUCACACGUGAAAUCCCCGGGCUUAACCCGGGAACUGCGUGUGAUACUGGAUGGCUUGAAUUCGGGAGAGGGAUGCAGAAUUCCAGGUGUAGCGGUGAAAUGCGUAGAUAUCUGGAGGAAUACCGGUGGCGAAGGCGGCAUCCUGGACCGACAUUGACGCUGAACGGCGAAAGCUAGGGGAGCAAACGGG